rnacentral:rRNA from 1 species
UAUGGUUGCCAGCCGCCGCGGUAAUACGGAAGGUCCGGGCGUUAUCCGGAUUUAUUGGGUUUAAAGGGAGCGUAGGCCGUCUGGUAAGCGUGUUGUGAAAUGUCGGGGCUCAACCUGGGCAUUGCAGCGCGAACUGUCAGACUUGAGUGCGCGGGAAGUAGGCGGAAUUCGUCGUGUAGCGGUGAAAUGCUUAGAUAUGACGAAGAACUCCGAUUGCGAAGGCAGCCUGCUGUAGCGCAACUGACGCUGAAGCUCGAAAGCGUGGGUAUCGAACAGG